rnacentral:rRNA from 1 species
UACCAGCACCCCGAGUGGUCGGGUCGAUUAUUGGGCCUAAAGCAUCCGUAGCCGGUUCUACAAGUCUUCCGUUAAAUCCACCUGCUUAACAGAUGGGCUGCGGAGGAUACUAUGGAGCUAGGAGGCGGGAGAGGCAAGCGGUACUUAGUGGGUAGGGGUAAAAUCCGUUGAUCCAUUGAAGACCACCAGUGGCGAAGGCGGCUUGCCAGAACGCACUCGACGGUGAGGGAUGAAAGCUGGGGGAGCAAACCGG